CUACGAAUCAAUCAGAGGUUGUGGAAACACUGGAAGUGACGCACCAGCAGAUGAAUACAGCAACGUCACAUCUCAUCUUAACCUUAAAGGUCGUGAUAAGAGCAGGAGACACGAGAGCUCUGACUACAUUAAUGUGCCUCCUGAAUCAGCAACAGAUCCAUGAAAAGAAGAUUAUUACCACCAAAAGAAGAGACUUGUGGACAACAAGCAGAAACAAUAUUCUUGUUUAAACGUGUUAGCAACUGUUCUAGACGUCCAAGCGUCCAUCAGACAGUCAUUUGUCCAGUUUUGUAUCAUAUUUCUUUAAAAUAUUACAUGAUCUGGAUUUAUUUGUUCUCAUUUAUACUUUUUGUAGCAAAAACGUAGGAAAACUAAAACCAUAUACAAAGCUUAACAGCCAUGUCCAUCUUAUACCUCGUCUGCAACAUAAUACAUAGUAGCAAAUUAAAACAAAAUUAUGAAAAGAUUUUUAAUAAUGUGACCAUGGAUUGAAGAAAAACAAAUUGACCCUUGUUGUAUUUUACAAGUUAAACAUUAAAUAACUGAAAUAUUUACUGUCAGUAUUAAAAUGGGUUUAACAGAGUUAACUGGCUUUGAUAACAUUUCAAUGUGCUCAGCUGUGUAAGUAUGUAGUACUCUGCUUAUUUAAUAUGCAAGUGUACUAUAACCAAGUCAUAUGUUGGAUGUUAUGUGGUGUUUUUCCUCCCUGUCAGAGGUUGGUGGUGUUAUGUUGUGUGUGUGUGUUUCCCUGAAUGUCUUUCAAGGAUUGAACAAUGAUGGUGUACGCUUUAAAGUGUGAUGAGCAAGAUUGCUAAGAAUGCUAUUGUGUGGAUAUUAUUUAGCCUUUUUUCUGGUUUAAUUUCUUUAUCAAAUUUAGUUGAGUGUUAAUAAAGAUGGGUGAAUAAAUAAAUGGUUGAAUAUCUUUAUUUAAAUGUUACUCGUCUUGUUAUCUUAUGUAUGUUGAA